rnacentral:rRNA from 1 species
CUUGCGUUUCUAUUUCGUUGGUUUCUAGGACGCGAGUAAUGAUUAAUAGGGAUAGUUGGGGGCAUUCAUAUUUAAUUGUCAGAGGUGAAAUUCUUAGAUUUAUGAAAGAUGAACUACUGCGAAAGCAUUUGCCAAGGAUGUUUUCAUUAAUCAAGAACGAAAGUUAGGGGAUCGAAGACGAUCAGAUACCGUCGUAGUCUUAACCAUAAACUAUGCCGACUAGGGAUUGGCGGAUGUUUCCUUUACGACUCCUUCAGCACCUUUAGCGAAAGCAAAGUUUUUGGGUUCCGGGGGGAGUAUGGUCGCAAGGCUGAAACUUAAAGGAAUUGACGGAAGGGCACCACCAGGAGUGGAGCCUGCGGCUUAAUUUGACUCAACACGGGGAAACUC